CUCACCCCAUCCUCACCCCCACCACAUCCCCAUCCGUCCCCACUCACCCCAUCCUCCCAUCCUCUUCCCCACCCCAUCCAUGUCACAGUUCAUGGGAAGCCUGGUGCACAUGUGUAGAACCAGAGCCACCCUAUCCCUGUCCCUCCCUUCCCUCCCCACUGGCUGAGCGGGAGGGGAUGGCCUGGGAUUGGCUUCCUACCGUUGCCAUGACUGUUGCUAGGAUCAGGGCUGUCUCCAGCCCCUGCAGGAAACAUGUAAUGAAUUAUGGAUGUCCGAUUUUCUCUGAGAGGCCUGAUCUGUAAUGCAGAUGAGCACCAAGUCCCCCUUUUCUUCUGGUUUCUUAAGAAAAAAAAAUCAGUUUUAAAUCCGAAGCUGGCAUUUGUGUAGUCCUGGCUGCCCCUUGCAGUGACCGCUGCCCGGUGUUGAUUCUUAUGCAAAGAGAGGGCCGGGGUCAGGGUCUGUUGUUUGUUCUGGAAAAGCUUGUAGGAUUUUCACCAGACCUUGUGACCUUUGGGGACAUUUUUUUUGUGUGUGAUCAGAGACAGAAUGGGAUAUAAACACUAGAAGUGACAUUUUCUAAACGUGAGGCACUUCUCUGGGCUGGCAGUGCCAGGAGCGUGGAGGGCUCAGAUCUCUGCUGGCAAAGGUGUGAGUGCUCUCCCUUCUCCCUCUCCCUCCCACUCCAGCCUCCACCCCAGAGCAGAGAAACGUUUGCCCAAAUGUGACUUAUACCUUCGUUCUGAGAGUAGGCACAGGUGGGCCUCUUCCAUUGGCUGCCCUUGUGGGCUGUGAGCAGAGAGGGCCCUCAUGUUUACUAAGUGCCCUUGUGGGCUUGGGGCCACCCCACCGCCAGAUGGAGGGGACAGAGGUGACAGGCGACAGGGCUGGGCUCCCUGUCCAGCUCCCCAGUGGCAGAGGUCCUCGGACAGUGGGAAUCAGAAGGGCGUCUUUGCUGGGCCACCCUUGGCAGGGAGUGACCUGAGCAGGUGCUUCCUGUGUGAGUGGGGGUGUCUGGGAACUGUGCAAGGUGCGGCCAUGUGGGCAUGCUCAGAGCCUGGUUGGACUGUAAGGUAGGAAGGCAUCCAGUCGUUCCCAUGGGCCAGCACAGAGGAGAAACAGGCAUGUGUGCGCGGGCCUGAAGGCGGCCCCUUCCCGGCAGUCUUACCUAAGCGACUGGUCCCUUAGGCUCCCAGCUUCGUGCCUGUCACCCAGCAUCCCCAUUGCCUCACGGUUCCCCCUCUCACGGGAGAAACGUCGACAGUGCUGGUGGGAACACAGAGAUGCCACCCAGGACCCCCGUGAGAUGCAGACACAAGCGGCUUUAACUUUACAAUGCAAUGAAGCAAAAUAUGCUGGCUUUGAGACCCGGAGGGCACGAAAACAGGGAGCUGGGGUUCUGGAAGGACGCCAGCUCGGCCUGCGAGGGGCUGAAAAAUACCUGCUGUUGCCUCUGUCUCGUUGAGAGUUGCCUCCCACCACCACAGAGGGAACCACGUGAGUCAAAGACAGAAAGAAAGGGACGGAAAAGAACUGUAUUUCAAAGAGGCAAGCCUUUAUAUUAGAAUGACGGCAACGCAGUUUAGGUGAAAAUUACAUUUGUCACCCCCACACUGGAGUGUUUAUUGAACGGCAGCUGGGUCAGCUCAAGGAAUUUCAAAGAGACGCAGGACACGAAGUGAUGGAUGAGUGGAAUCCUCCACUAAAACUCCUUCCAGGACACUGUGUAUCUGUCUACAGUUUCAUUCUCGCUUUCUUUCUUUUUAUUGAGGGCAUGCCUUGGACGUUUUGUUUUUAGUCUCAGGACCAUUUUAAUGAAGAGCCAUGGGUCACUGCUUCUAUUCGGGGUCAUGUACAGACAACAGUCAGUGGAAAUAGCACUUGUCUUUGAAUUGAGCAGAUAGAAAAUAGAGAAGGAAAGUCCUGGAGGAGCGGCUUUCCCGCCAGCGUCUACCUGUAGAGAGUGAGACGAAGAUGGAGACAAUUAACUGGACGAAGCAGGCAAAAUCCCCGAUAAUUGAGGCCGGGUGCCACGGGGUGACUUUCCCUUUCUGGAGUUAUUUAGCCAGUUUCUUUCUCUCUGCUGUGUGUGUCGACACAACCUUGGCCUCCCCCGCUGUAAAAUGGAAAAACCACAGCCGCAGAGCUCACCAGGGAAUUCUGCAGCUCUCGGAAUGAUUGCGCGCCGGGCUGACAAUGCGAAGUGUUAGAUUAACGUGAAAGUGUUCUAUGUUGGAACAUCGAAUACAGACGAGGCAUGUAAGAAAACGAUGUUUUAAGAAAUAUGUUUUAUGCUAUAUCAUUUCUUUUACUGAAAACAAUUGGACAAACAAACAAGAAAAGCCAAGGAAAAUGCGACCGGGACGUGGAAUCGGCCCGUCUGUGAGUGGAAGGAUCACACUCCCAGCUGAGAUAGAAAUAAAGCCACGCGUGCCUCUGUUUCUAUGCGUGGUAAAAUAAACAAGCAACACUUCGAGGAACUAUUGAUUCUGUUAUUAAAACACAGCCUGUUUGGUUUGCCAGAUCGUAGCCAUUAUUAAUGCAUUAUUAAUUCUAUGUAAGUGCCUGCUUGUCAGAUCCAUUAACCGGGGGAGUAAUUGCCGAGGGAGAGAGCUCAGAAGGUGUGUCACGCUGCUCGCUCGGUCUAGGUGGAACGAAGCGGAGGGAAGCCACGCGGAGCAAUGGAGGCAGCCCUGUAAGGCAGUGUCCGUUUCUGUCUGUGGCCAAAAUGGCCAGGGAUGUUUUUGGCCAAGCUGAUGAGACAGAGAUUGGAAGAGGAAAGUUUCAUACUGAUACUUCGGCUGGCUGGCUGCAGAGUAACCUGCAUUUUGGGCCAUUUUUGGUUAAAUGUAUGAAAGCAAACAUCCACAUAAAGGCUGAAAUGGUUUGUCAAUGACCCAGAGGCUGUUCCCGGGAUCUUUUGAGCCCUGGGAACCUGGAGGUACCUGCAGAGCUGAGCAGAUUGCUUCCGCAUCAAGGAAACAAGCGGGACUUGUGAGAAGGGGCGGUUUGUGAGGCCCCUGGCUGCAGGCACUGGAGGUCCUGCCACCCAGCGGCACAAGGCUGCCCUGCCUGCUUUAAGGAGGAGACAGGACUAUUGACUUGGUCCGAUUUGCCUGAACUUCUUGAGUUUCUCACUGCCCGUGGAUUCCAGUUGCUUUAACACGGGAAAUCGGACCUGCUGGAGGAGACCCUGCGCUGUCCUCAAAGACAACACUGUUUCCACUAACGCAAGGAUACAGCGUGAUUGAAACAGUGCCCCACCCAUAGGGUGGCUGGCAGAUUGAACGUGGUGCUCUGUGGAAAAAUGUGGUCUGGCCAUACCCAGUGCUAUGCACGUGUUUACCACCAUUGCCUCCCCUUCUCCCAUCUCAUGUUAUCGGUCUGUAAAGUGGGUGUCAUGAGUGACUUCUGGUAUCUGCUGAGGGGGGUGGUGUCUGGGUGAGGCCCGAGUAGUUGGAGGCUUUGGUUUUUGCAUAAUGGGACCCCUAUUUUCCACUUAACCCGAACCAAAGCGGAAUCAUGGAAGGCCUCAAUGCAGGCAGCCCUGAGGGCGCAAGAAAGUUUGCUUUGUUCAAAGGGCUCCUGGGAGCCGGGCGAUGGGUGACCACGCCAGGAAGCACCUUGACUUGGGUACUUUGCAGAAUCUUCCUCCCAGCGCACCUAGACUUGCCGCUGUGUGGCAGCUUUGACUCCCAGCCCAGUAACAAACACGUCCAUGACGCUGUGGACUGACAGAGACCGCAGAGCUGGUCAACGUGAGGAAUGGGGCCCGCGCCCCGGGGGACCUCCAAGGCUGGGGGCACGGGAGCAAGCGGGUUACUCAGGCCCACACUAACCGCACUUGUAACUUCUCUCCCUGAGUCAAGGCAAGUUUUCAUUCAAGCCAACGUAACACAAUCUUGCCAAUGACUGGAAAAAUAACUAGCUUUGCAAAAAUUUAAAAAGACUCAGAUAAUACUCAAAUUUGGAGCCCUAAUGAAGUGUGUAAACCUCAUGUCCACAGACUGUGUUACUGGAGCCAGAGGGGGAAGAUCCCUGAAUCAGCCCGCCUGGGGCCGCCCACGGCUGCUCCUUGCGUGGGAGGUGGCCCCAUGCGGCCGCUUCUCUGGGGGACAGAACAGAAACUGGGGCGAGUUUGGCCCAGCCGCAACAUCCAAGUCUGUGUUCAUUUAAAACUAACUGCCUUUGAUUGCAUUUGACAAAAACAUUGGUCCAUGAUUGACUGGAAAUAAAAUAAUGAGGGUUUGAGACCCGGGCUCCGACCUCCCUUCUGUUCUGGGCCCGUGUGAGGCCGGGGACGGCCCGGGCAGGUGUCAGCAGCAGGAGUGUUUUCCGGGGUCCCUGUGGAGAACGUCUCUCCGCAGCUUCUCCUGGAACGUUGUCUCCGAGGCUCAGCAGCCUCCUCACACCCCCUGGGUCCACACCUCAGACCCAUCUGCCCGCCCGGCCAGCCUGCCUCGUCGUUCCCCGCGGGCUCGUGCCUCAACAGGCAGCGUGUGGAUGCCACCGUCACCUUCACGGGAGAGGCAGGUCCGCCCUGGAGCUGAUCCCCUGAUGAGGAAAUGAAAACACAGAGAGGAGAAGGCACUCGCCUGAGGUACCCUGCCAGACGCUGGGGACGGGCUCACACGCAGCGGCCCAAAGCCUGCUGCCUCUCGGAGCAGCGGGGGUCUGGGACGGAUAUUGAGGCACAGGGCCUUGGACGUGCCCGUGGAGCUGCUCAGCCAGUGGGGAGUUAGCCAGCGUUUUACAGGCAAAGCUGCGGAGCUGUGCUGGUGCCUGUGUGUGGCUCCACUGGAAUCCAGUUGUCCCAGCAUCAUUUGUUGAAAGACUAUUCUUUCCCCACUGAGAAGUCUUGACACCCUUGUUGGAAAUCAGUUGACCAUAGAUGGGACAGUUUAUUUCUAGACUUUCAGUUCUAAUCCAUAAUGAAGCCAGUACCACACUAUUUUGAUUACUGUUGCUUUUUAGUAAGUUUUGAAAUCAGGAAGUGUGGGUCUUUCAACUCUGUUCUCCUUUUCCAAGAUUGUUUUGGCUAUUCUGGGUUUCCUGCAAUUCCAUAUGACCUUCAGAAUCAGCUUUUUGAUUUCUACAAAGACAUCAGUUGGGAUUCGGAAAGGAAUUGUGUUGAAUUGGUAGAUCAUUUUAGGGAUCACUGCCGUUGUAACAAUGUCAAGUCUUUCAAUCCAUGAACAUGGGAUGUCUUUCAAUUUAUUUAAAACUUCUUUAAAGUUUUUCAACAAUGUUUUGUAGGGUUCCAAGUAUAAGUUUUACAUUUGUUUUGUCAUAUGUAUUCCCAAGUAUUUUAUUCAUUUUGAUGCCAUUGCAAAUGGAAUUAUUUUCUUUUUAUUUUAUUUUAUUAUUAUUAUACUUUAAGUUUUAG
rnacentral:lncRNA from 10 species